rnacentral:rRNA from 1 species
AUUGAACGCUGGCGGCAUGCCUUACACAUACAAGUCGAACGGCAGCGGACCUUCGGGUGCCGGCGAGUGGCGAACGGGUGAGUAAUAUAUCGGAACGUACCUUUCAGUGGGGGAUAACGUAGCGAAAGUUACGCUAAUACCGCAUAUUCUGUGAGCAGGAAAGCAGGGGAUCGCAAAACCUUGCGCUGAUUGAGCGGCCGAUAUCAGAUUAGGCUAGUUGGUGAGGUAAAGGCUCACCAAGGCGACGAUCUGUAGCGGGUCUGAGAGGAUGAUCCGCCACACUGGAACUGAGACACGGUCCAGACUCCUACGGGAGGCAGCAGUGGGGAAUUUUGGACAAUGGGCGCAAGCCUGAUCCAGCCAUGCCGCGUGAGUGAAGAAGG